GCCGGUAUAGCUCAGUUGGUAGAGCAUCUGUCUUGUAAACAGAAGGUCAGGGGUUCGAACCCCCUUGCCGGCUCCA
rnacentral:tRNA from 3 species